CCUACGGGAGGCAGCAGUGAGGAAUAUUGGUCAAUGGACGCAAGUCUGAACCAGCCAUGCCGCGUGCAGGAAGACGGUCCUAUGGAUUGUAAACUGCUUUUGUACGGGAAGAAACACUCCUACGUGUAGGAGCCUGACGGUACCGUAAGAAUAAGGAUCGGCUAACUCCGUGCCAGCAGCCGCGGUAAUACGGAGGAUCCAAGCGUUAUCCGGAAUCAUUGGGUUUAAAGGGUCCGUAGGCGGUUUAAUAAGUCAGUGGUGAAAUCUGGUCGCUCAACGAUCAAACUGCCAUUGAUACUGUUAGACUUGAAUUACUGUGAAGUAACUAGAAUAUGUAGUGUAGCGGUGAAAUGCUUAGAUAUUACAUGGAAUACCAAUUGCGAAGGCAGGUUACUAACAGUUGAUUGACGCUGAUGGACGAAAGCGUGGGGAGCGAACAGGAUUAGAUACCCUGGUAGUCCACGCCGUAAACGAUGGAUACUAGUUGUUUGGAUUUAUCUGAGUGACUAAGCGAAAGUGAUAAGUAUCCCACCUGGGGAGUACGAACGCAAGUUUGAAACUCAAAGGAAUUGACGG
rnacentral:rRNA from 1 species